rnacentral:tRNA from 1 species
UCCUCGUUAGUACAACGGCAGUACGCCCGACUCUGGAUCGGGUAAUCGUGGUUCGAAUCCAUGCCGAGGAGC